UACGUAGGGAGCAAGCGUUGUUCGGAUUUACUGGGCGUAAAGGGCGCGUAGGCGGCGCGGUAAGUCACUUGUGAAAUCUCUGAGCUUAACUCAGAACGGCCAAGUGAUACUGCAGUGCUAGAGUGCAGAAGGGGCAAUCGGAAUUCUUGGUGUAGCGGUGAAAUGCGUAGAUAUCGGGAGGAACACCAGUGGCGAAGGCGACUACCUGGCCUGUUUCUUGACGCUGAGGCGCGAAAGCUAGGGGAGCAAACGGG
rnacentral:rRNA from 1 species